rnacentral:rRNA from 1 species
GUAGGUGGCAAGCGUUGUCCGGAAUUAUUGGGCGUAAAGCGCGCGCAGGCGGUUCUUUAAGUCUGGUGUGAAAGCCCACGGCUCAACCGUGGAGGGUCAUUGGAAACUGGAGAACUUGAGUACAGAAGAGGAAAGCGGAAUUCCACGUGUAGCGGUGAAAUGCGUAGAGAUGUGGAGGAACACCAGUGGCGAAGGCGGCUUUCUGGUCUGUAACUGACGCUGAGGCGCGAAAGCGUGGGGAGCAAACAGGAUUAGAUACCCUGGUAGUCCACGCCGUAAACGAUGAGUGCUAAGUGCUAGGGGGGUUUCCCGCCCCCUUAGUGCUGCAGCUAACGCAUUAAGCACUCCGCCUGGGGGAGUACGGCCCGCAAGGCUG